rnacentral:rRNA from 1 species
GACGAACGCUGGCGGCGUGCUUAACACAUGCAAGUCGAACGGAAAGGCCCUGCUCUUGUGGGGUGCUCGAGUGGCGAACGGGUGAGUAACACGUGAGUAACCUGCCCUUGACUUUGGGAUAACAUCAGGAAAAUGGGGCUAAUACAGGAUAGGAGAUCCUGCUGCACGGGGGGGGUUGGAAAGUUUCGGCGGUUGGGGAUGGUCUCGCGGCUUAUCGGCUUGAUGGUCGGGUAGUGGCUUUCCAAGGCUUUGACGGGUAGCCGGCCUGGGAGGGUGACCGGCGACAAUGCGACUGAGAUACGGCCCAGACGCCUACGGGAGGCAGCAGGGGGGAGUAUUGCACAAUGGGCGGAAGCCUGAGGCAGCAACGCCGCGUGCGGGAUGACGGCCUUCGGGUUGUAAACCGCUUUCGCCUGUGACGAAGCGUGAGUGACGGUAAUGGGUAAAGAAGCACCGGCUAACUACGUG